UACGAAGGGGGCUAGCGUUGUUCGGAAUCACUGGGCGUAAAGGGCGCGUAGGCGGCUUUAUAAGUCGGGGGGUGAAAGCCUGUGGCUCAACCACAGAAUUGCCUUCGAUACUGUAGAGCUUGAGACCGGAAGAGGUAAGUGGAACUGCGAGUGUAGAGGUGAAAUUCGUAGAUAUUCGCAAGAACACCAGUGGCGAAGGCGGCUUACUGGUCCGGUUCGUGACGCUGAGGCGCGAA
rnacentral:rRNA from 1 species